UACGGAGGGUGCAAGCGUUAUCCGGAUUCACUGGGUUUAAAGGGUGUGUAGGCGGGCAGUUAAGUCAGUGGUGAAAUCUCCAGGCUCAACCUGGAAACUCGCCAUUGAUACUAUCUGUCUUGAAUUCUGUUGAGGUGGGCGGAAUACAUCAUGUAGCGGUGAAAUGCUUAGAUAUGAUGUAGAACACCGAUUGCGAAGGCAGCUCACUAAGCAGCGAUUGACGCUGAGGCACGAAAGGCGUGGGGAUCAAACAGGG
rnacentral:rRNA from 1 species